rnacentral:rRNA from 1 species
CCCUUAGAUGUCCUGGGCCGCACGCGCGCUACACUGAUGCAUGCAACGAGUUUAUAACCUUGGCCUGAAAGGUCUGGGUAAUCUUUUGAACGUGCAUCGUGAUAGGGAUAGAUUAUUGCAAUUGUUAAUCUUGAACGAGGAAUUCCUAGUAAACACGAGUCAUCAGCUCGCAUUGAUUACGUCCCUGCCCUUUGUACACACCGCCCGUCGCACCUACCGAUUGAAUGGUUCGGUGAAGAUCUCGGACUUCGAUAUUUAUUCUUUAUUGAGUUUAUAUUGUGGGAAGUUAUCUAAACCUCAUCAUUUAGAGGAAGGUGAAGUCGUAACA